GUAAGAUUCCUAGGUCACUGGAAUUGUGUACCUAAGAUGAUUAUGGCUACCUCUGCUGAGUCAUGCAGGUUGUCAGGGAAGUGGGGGAAAGCCAGCAGUUACAGGCCUCAGCCAGCUCCCACACAAACCGAAGGGCCUGUCUCACUUCUAACAUGUCCACGGCUCCCCAACAGCCCUGAGUAUGUUUACAGGUGGAGGGCGAGAGGGGCUUGAAACUUGCCUGAGGCUCUCCGCCUCCCAGCUGCCAAAGAAAGGGCUUUAGUUCCCUGCCCCCCACCCCCGCCCCUUCCGCCGCCUGUGAAGGGACCCACCGAGCUCCCAGGGCCUUUCUGCUGCUUCCUCUACCCCUGUAUUUUGCUCGGCUCUGUAACUUGACUCAGCUUCAGGUCACAUGGAAUCUACACAUGGAAGGACAUAGGCAUUGCAUGCAGGUAUCCGGAAUCAUUGAUAUUGGUCUUAAAAUUUGGAAGUUUCCACUUUUGCUAAGCCAUGUGAGGACACAACAAGAAGGCAUCACCAAUGAAGAAUAGGCCUUCAUCAGACAUCCAAUCUGCAGGCCUCUUGAUCUUGGACUUCCUAAUCUACAGAAUU
rnacentral:lncRNA from 10 species